rnacentral:rRNA from 1 species
CGCCAGACUCCUACGGGAGGCAGCAGUGAGGAAUAUUGGUCAAUGGGCGGAAGCCUGAACCAGCCAAGUCGCGUGAGGGAUUAAGGCCCUAUGGGUCGUAAACCUCUUUUGUCAGGGAGCAAGGUCGUCCACGUGUGGGCGUAUGGAGAGUACCUGGAGAAAAAGCAUCGGCUAACUCCGUGCCAGCAGCCGCGGUAAUACGGAGGAUGCGAGCGUUAUCCGGAUUUAUUGGGUUUAAAGGGUGCGCAGGCGGCGUGUCAAGUCAGCGGUAAAAUGUCGGGGCUCAACCCCGGCCGGCCGUUGAAACUGGCAGUCUCGAGUUGGAGAGAAGUAUGCGGAAUGCGCGGUGUAGCGGUGAAAUGCAUAGAUAUCGCGCAGAACUCCGAUUGCGAAGGCAGCAUGCCGGCUCCACACUGACGCUGAGGCACGAAAGCGUGGGUAUCGAACAGGAUUAGAUACCCGGGUAC